AGUGAACGCUGGCGGUAGGCCUAACACAUGCAAGUCGAACGGCAGCACAGUAAGAGCUUGCUCUUACGGGUGGCGAGUGGCGGACGGGUGAGGAAUACAUCGGAAUCUACUUUUUCGUGGGGGAUAACGUAGGGAAGCUUACGCUAAUACCGCAUACGACCUACGGGUGAAAGCAGGGGAUCUUCGGACCUUGCGCGAUUGAAUGAGCCGAUGUCGGAUUAGCUAGUUGGCGGGGUAAAGGCCCACCAAGGCGACGAUCCGUAGCUGGUCUGAGAGGAUGAUCAGCCACACUGGAACGGAGACACGGUCCAGACUCCUACGGGAGGCAGCAGUGGGGAAUAUUGGACAAUGGGCGCAAGCCUGAUCCAGCCAUACCGCGUGGGUGAAGAAGGCCUUCGGGUUGUAAAGCCCUUUUGUUGGGAAAGAAAAGCAGCAGGUUAAUACCCCGCUGUUCUGACGGUACCCAAAGAAUAAGCACCGGCUAACUUCGUG
rnacentral:rRNA from 1 species